UUCAAAAUCAGAUGCCAGAUUACUAUUUUUAUGUUCAUUUAUUUUGAUGAAAAUCCGUAGACUUUUAAACGACUAUACAUUAUAGUAGAUAUACAUUAUUAACUUAAUAUACUUGAAUACAAAGUAAUUAAAACAAAAUGAACUAAAACAUACAAAUAUUAUUACCGCACAAGUCUUGAAUAUACUUACCAACUUAAUUUUAAUUCCAGUUCAUUAUAUGGAUACAAAAUAAACAAAAUGUUGUGGAAAUACAAUUUUCUACAGGAUUUAAGUAGUGACUCAGAGAGCAUUUUAAAUUGCUAUGUGUAUGGCAUGAUAAGCAGUGAUGAAGAGUAUCAUAAUGCUGUUGAUGCUCAUAUUGAAAAUUGUACAGUAAUCUGAGUAAUCAAAGACAAGGACUAAGAUCUUCUAAGAGAUAUUGAUAUUAUUUCUUGUAGUGAAGAUGAUACAAAUAUAAAUUAUGAUAGUGACAAAGAUCCUCAAUAUGUAGGUACUUGUAGAUCUACAAGAUAAUAAUGCAAGCGUUUUGUCUGAUGUUGAAAAAAUAUAUAACUUGUAACAGAAAUAGAAAAUACUAGACCUAUAGUGAAACACAAAAGAAAAGUGCCAGUACCAUCAUCAGAAAAAGUAUUAAAAAGAAAACGCUCCAAAAAAAAAAGGCGAUUGGAUAGAUGUUAAGUCAAAAGUUCUCCUAAACAAAGGAAAAGAGCAUGUGAACUGAAAAGAAAAUGGGACCACCAUGUGACCAUACUAGGCAAUGGGAUUUAAUUGCCCAACAUGUUAAAGUAAUAAUCAAAAAACAACAAAUAGGUACAUCUUCUGAAACACACAGGAAAUUUUCUAGACAGUAUACGUUGACUAUUAACCAUAAAGAAUUCCAAACUGCAAAACUAAAAAUACAUGGAUUCAUAAUAUGACGGCUGUUAUAUCGAAUAUCGUCAUUCAUCAUAACGUUAAUAAUUAUUAUUGUAUAAUAAUAUAUUAUUAUAGGUACUCGAUUUAUUUAUUUAUAUAAAACUGCCUUGCCGCCUUGGCGCUGGUUACAAGAUGUUUCUUUUGACGGCGGGGCCAAUAUUUGUUAGGUUUUCGUUGUCACAGUUACUUGUUAAAAAAACGAAUUAAUGAUUUAUAAAUUUUCCUCCUAGAGGAAAGUUAUUGAGUAGCGUGCUACUGGGUUACUUUAAUAUAGAUUUUUGUUUCAAUGAGUUAAUUAAAUCGAAGUUAAUAGUGUUAGUUUUACAUAGGUAUGUAUAAAUUACAAAAUGUGUGAAAUUUUGAAAAGUUAUAAGCUAAGAAAGUAAGAAACUUUUACAAAUUAAUAACUGCAGUCUACAAGUAUACUAUCAGCGAUCUCUUGUACUAUAUUGUUAAACUAAUUAUCUGUAAACAGAAUUAUUUAUUCCGAGAGAGUGCGCUUUUAAUUAUAUAUAUAUAUGUAUAUAUAAAAAUAUAUAAGUACUAAGUAGGUACGUAAUUAAAGUUUCCAAUCAAUAGAUAUUAGAUUAACUGUUUUUCGACGAACAAAAAUUUUAACAAGACUGAAAAAAUCUGUAAAUAGUUAAUAAAUACUGAUGGUUAAAAUAUUUAUGGUAAAUACUAAAUAAUGUACAUGAGUAAUGAAAACUGUUAAUUAUUGACGUACACGCAACACUCUUAAUUUCUGUUCCCAGAUAAAAGUUGUAAGGUAGGUAACGGGAAGGAACAAAAUAUAUUAAGAAAUGUUUUAAUUCAUACAAUUCUCUGUGGAUUACAAUUGUCAAUAAAUUAUUUUGAUUUUGAUUAUAAGACAUAGCGUUACUUAUAUUAUAUUA